rnacentral:tRNA from 1 species
GCCUGGGUGGCUCAGUCAGUUAAGCAUGUGACUUCGGCUCAGGUCACGAUCUCAUGGUUUGUGGGUUCGAGCCCCACGUCGGGCU